AAAGUUUUGUCCAUCUUUGUUCAUCAUAGCUGAAAGUUAGAGAAGAGAAAGGAGAGGAGAAAGCUCUUGAGUAUUCGGUCAUUAGGAGGAGGAAAAUUGAAGGUAAGUUCUUGGUACCUUGCUUCUAUUUUGAGGUUCAUGAGUUCUUCUUGAUUCUACCUUAACUCUUGAAGCAUAUUUUGGUUUUUGGUUGUGUUGUGAGCAUUUGGUCAUGAAUUAAAAUGAAGGAAAUGGUUGUUGUUUUAUGUUCUUUUGAUGAAAAAUGGAAGAUAUGUGAAGUUGAGCCAAACAAAUGAGCAUGCAUGUGCCUUAGAUGCUAAAGGGAAAAAUCGGCUAACAUGUUGUGCUUUAAAAUGAUGAAAUGGAGAUUAUGCUUAAGUAAAAAUCAUAGAUAUGUGAUGAUUGAUUGGUGAUAUACAUGUUUAAAUAACAUGCAUGCAAGAUAGGUGUAUGAAAGAGUGAUUUGGUAAUAAAUCUGCUUGGGACAGCAGCAGUAACGUGACUUUGGAAAAUCACCAUAAAUUGUGGGAGAUGAAUUAGAAGCUGAAUAAAUUAUGUAAUUAAAGCUUAUUGAGUCUAGUUUCUAAUGAAAUAAACAAGAACAUAUUUUGAAUUCUGUACAAUGAGAAAUUUGAUUCGUAAUGAAGAGUGGUCAGAUUAGUCAAACAGUGAAACAUGGGAAACUUUGAGAAAAAUCUGGUAUUUAUUGGCUAAACCAAAAAUUCUGAAAAUUUUAUGGAUAGAAGAUAUAUGAGUCUAUUUUCAGGGAAAAUUAACGGAACUUGAUUUGGAGUUUCGUAGCUCCAGUUAUAAAUAAUUUAGUGACUGUUGCUCAGGAAGAUAGCUUGCAGUGAAAUUUUGAAUAUGUGGUAAACAUUGACAAAAAAUUGUUAAUGAGUUGCUUAUUGAUUUCUUAUAAGCUUACUAUGAUCUGUAGGUGUGGUUGGCCGAAUAUUGUAAGGGGUUAAUAUGUAGUUUGUAUUUGAAUAGUUAGAUUAACGUGUUAGUAAUCCAAUUGUAGGCGGUUCGUGUAUGGAUCUCGUCAGCAUAUCGUCGCAAACAGGUGUGUAACUAACACCCUCUUUCUUAGUCUGGAUCGGCAAAAGUCGAAAAGUCAAAAUGCCGAAAACCGGUAUUUUGUAGAUUUGCGAGUGUGCGAAUGCUCGUGAGGUAAAUCGAUUAAUGUUUUUGGUAAGCUGCAAAAUUAGGACUGCAAAGUGCAUGAUUUCUAUGCCCUCGAUAUUUUCGGGCUUAAUGGGCCAAAAUUGGAAUGAUGGGCCAACGGGCCCAAUUCAGUAAGAACCCUCGGUACGUGAUUCUGUAGUACGUGAAAGGUAGGAAUAUGCAUGAAAAACCCUAAAAUAGAUAAAUUACUGAAAUACCUUUAAAAAUGGAAAAUUUACAGUUUUACCCCUAGGAGAUAAAUUACCGAAAUACCCCUAGGGUUAAAUUGACUUAAAUGCAUGUUUGACUGUUGUUAUUUACUGCAUGCCAUGUUGUUAUUAUCUGAUGCAUGGGAUUGGGAUAUUGACGGAGGAAGUACUGAAAGUGGCUUGUCCACGUACUGGAGGCUUUGCCUCAAUUUACUGUUAACUGAGCAGCAAUGCUGCAACUGUGGAGUGUUGGGCUGGGUGGGUUGAGCUAUCCCCAUGUGGAGUGUAUGGCUGGUACGGGUGGAGUGUAGUGGUUGGUGGGUUGAGUAGUCUCCCCAAAUGGGCUUGCAUAUGUUAUUGAUGUUGCAUGUAUUUUGAAAUGGGCCUAUGGGCCAUACUGUUAUCUGAAUAAUGGGCUUAGGCCCAAUGGGCUUGAGCUGACUUGGGCUUUGAAUGGGUUUUCCUUACACACUGAGUUUCCCCAAACUCACCCCUUUUAUUUUCAUCCACGUAGGUAAUCCCCAACCAUAGUGGGCUUGGAGCUGUGAGGGAAUUCGGAGUGGCCACCCGUUCUGAAAGUUUGAUUUUCUUCUGGUGAACUGGACAUCCUUUUUUUUACGUUUGAAGUUUUAGGUUUUUAAAUGUAAUAAGGCCGCUUAAUUAUUUUUGAUGGUGUUAAUAUGUGUUACUAAGAUAAGUAUUACUUAUUUUAACUGUUGAAGUUGGAAAGCUUUAGGGCGCGUUUUCAAAAACAACAAUUGAUUUCAAAAUAAUACGACAACAAGCAAAGCUUCCGCAAUGAAAGUAUUUUCCAAAAUUAAUCACUUUUCCUAAAAA
rnacentral:lncRNA from 1 species